rnacentral:rRNA from 1 species
CAGCAGCCACGGUAAUACGGAGGGGGCUAGCGUUGUUCGGAAUUACUGGGCGUAAAGCGCACGUAGGCGGCUUUGUAAGUUAGAGGUGAAAGCCCGGAGCUCAACUCCGGAAUUGCCUUUAAGACUGCAGAGCUGGCAGGUGAGAGAGGUGAGUGGAAUUCCGAGUGUAGAGGUGAAAUUCGUAGAUAUUCGGAAGAACACCAGUGGCGAAGGCGGCCCCCUGGACAAAGACUGACGCUCAGGUGCGAAAGCGUGGGGAGCAAACAGGAUUAGAUACCCCGGUAGUCCCUGUCUCUUAUAC